CCUGUGGCCCCAGAGAGCAGACACUCAUAAGCCUUAAAGGAACACAAAGUCCCCUCCACCCCCAGGAGUAGUCCCCAUGUCACAGAUGGAGAAAUUGAGGUGAAGGCUCCACUGUGUGGGAGUGAAGCAGUGGCGACGGGCAGCAGCGCUUCGUGAUCCUGAUUUCUUCCACCCCAGGCAAGAAGUGCCCACCAUGGGUACCACCACCACCCCUCCCCCGAGGACUAAAUGAGCAGCAGGGAGUGACAAACAGUCAGGUGCACCUAAGUUCCAGCCAAGCUCUACCAUCGACACUCUAUGACUUGGGCAGGACCCCAGGGAAGAUGAUUCAAGCAAUGCUGAGGAGGCUGCACUCUGCCCACCCACUCCAGCCCCAUCAUCCAAGGGAAAUGCCAAAGCUACCCCACAGAGUAGAAGGUUGCCUCCCCGCCAUUCCUG
rnacentral:lncRNA from 10 species